ensembl:lncRNA
GGAGGUACCCGGGUCAGUCCAGGACCACAGAAAGUAGCAGCCAGGACAGCGUCAGGAAAUGGCUCCUCACCACUGUGACUGAAGCGGAUGCAAAGCGGGUGGUGGUGUGUGGAGCUGCAGAGCCUCUGAAGAGGAACUCCGGCAGUGACGAUGACUUGGCGUUGGGUGUAGAAGGUAAACAGCCUCCUAUUGUGGACUUUUAAGGUGGCGCACUCAGCAGAGAUUCUUUACAGGCCCACUGCUGUUUGGGGAAGAGAGGUGAUGAUUUAUUGAUCAGUGUGUCUCAUCCAACACCAACAAGGAGAGAACGCUGCUCCUUCUGUGUGGCUACUGAUACGAGGAGGACGCACAGCACCAGUCACAUGGGAUUGUCCCCUUUAGGAGCAGUAAAGGAGUGCUGGUGGUCGCUGAGCCAAUAGAGUGGCUACAGCAGUAAUUCAUUCAUUUAUCAUACAGGUCAUUAUCAUCCUUUUCCUGUAAUAAGCUCAGAGCUUCCAUUCUGUAUUUGUGAUGUCAUGCUAUGGUGUCUUUGUAUGCAUUGGUGUGUCAUUGUGUCUACUGGACCUUUCAAUGGACAAACCCAAAUAAACAGCAAAAAGACACAUGACAUGUAAUGUAAAGACAAAGUGAAAAGAUCCCUUUUUUGUCAUUAAGUGUGUCCAGAUGAGUAAUACGGGCUAGCCUAAAAGUCUAAAUUAAUCCAUUUAUUGAAUGAUUC